AUGUUUGUGACAAUCCUGCUUGGAGAUGACAGGAGGGAGUUGCUUAAUCUCAACUGUAAACUCAUCAAUUUCAUCCGACAUUUGAAGGAGAAGUGUGGUCUGGGUUUUGAAGACUGUGUGGACCUGAUGGACAGCAGCGGGCGAGUCAUGAACCUGGAGGCCAAGCAGCACAGCCGGGAUCUGGCCUCCAGUGUGCUGACAGAGAGGCGGUUCUACGUUCCGCUCCAGGUCCUCCGAGAUGAUUCCUCUGGAAGUCAGGAAUAUGUCUCCCUCCUAAACAACUACAGCUCAGGUCAACCUGAGUUGGCAGAGCUGCUGAGGAAACUGUCACAUCCUAACAAGGAGACGGACAGAAAGAGCAAAAGACGAUGGGCACAGAAAAGCAAAGACAUCACCGCCAACAAGAACUCAUGAAAUCAGUGUUUCUGAAUUGAACGGACGUUUCUAACUCACAUCAAAGGAAUUUAGCAUACAUUUUAACAUGGAGCAGAUUUUUCCAUUGUGUCACAAAGGUUACAAAUAAUGAAGACGCCCCAAAUUAAGCUCAUGUCAGAAAUAAAUAAAAGGCAGUGAGUGUCAUGACUUUGGAUGUUUUUCAACUGUUACCCAAAAGCAACAAAGUGCAGGAGCACUAAGAAAGUGUGUUCUUUAAAUUAACAGAGAUUGUCUAAAAUACUUGACAUUAUAAUGAACAAAUGUGAUUAAAAAAAACUCUAAGCAGAGCGUAUCUCUUUUCUUAGAAAGAAUGAAGUAUUUUCAAUCCCUAAAACUAUGUUUUAGUUUCUAAUGUGGGAAAUAAAUUCAACAAUGCCCAAAUAAUCAUUAGUUUAGGUAUUUAGAUUCACCUUUUAAUUUCAACCAGCUUAAACUUGUGCUUCAAAAUGGGAGAGAAAUAUUCUUCAAUUUUUAAAAUGUAUUUUCUUGUAUUCUAACUUAUUUACUUAAUAUUGACCACUGAAAGGCCUUUCAAUUACAAAAGUUAAUCUGAAGUGAUAAAAAAUAGAAAAAAAAAAGUUAUGUAAAAGAAAUAGUAAAAAUAAAUUAGGUUAGUGGUCUGUAUAUGUUGGAACAUGUUCUGCUGUUCGUGAGUUUUUAAGUUUGACAGAAAGCAUGCAGAACAGCUUGGUUGCAUCUUUUACCUUUUUUGUGAUCGGUCUGUUUAGGUGUGAAAGCAGGAAUAGAUGAACUCAGUUCCAAAAAGAUCCAGAAGAGGGGUGGAGCAGGUUUCUCAAGCCAAAGGUCAGCUUCUCUGCUGGAGGCUGGUCUUUCCAAAGCAUUUAUAGAUUAUUUAACAGGAGAAACAGAGAACGUGUGCAAACCGGUGAGACUGAUCUGUGCUGCUGCUGCGAAGCUUUA
rnacentral:lncRNA from 1 species